rnacentral:rRNA from 1 species
UACGAAGGGUGCAAGCGUUGUUCGGAAUCAUUGGGCGUAAAGCGCGCGCAGGCGGAUUGAUAAGUCAGGUGUGAAGUCUCGGGGCUCAACCUCGAAACUGCGCCUGAAACUAUUAGUCUAGAAUGUCGGAGGGGGCAGGGGAAUUUCACGUGUAGGGGUAAAAUCCGUAGAGAUGUGAAGGAACACCGGAGGCGAAGGCGCCUGCCUGGACGACUAUUGACGCUGAGGCGCGAAAGCGUGGGGAGCAAACAGG